rnacentral:rRNA from 1 species
UACGGAGGGUGCAAGCGUUAUCCGGAUUCACUGGGUUUAAAGGGAGCGCAGGCGGAUUAGUAAGUCAGUGGUGAAAGCCUUAAGCUUAACUUGGGAACUGCCAUUGAUACUAUUAGUCUUGAAUGUUGUUGAGGUGUGCGGAAUGGGUCAUGUAGCGGUGAAAUGCAUAGAUAUGACCCGGAACACCUAUUGCGAAGGCAGCAGGCUAAACAAAUAUUGACGCUGAGGCUCGAAAGCGUGGGGAUCAAACAGG